GGAACUUGGAUGCAGUCUAGAACAAGACAGUCUAGAACAAGACGUAAAAACUACAAGAAACAUCCUAACUAUGAGGCACAGGAUCAUAGCCUAGCUAUCUUUUUUCUACAUGAAGUCGGAACAAUCUUUUGAUGAUCAUCAGAGUAAUCAGUAAUGAUCCAGAAUCUCUUGAAACCUUUAAUAUAGUUCAGAAUUAUGUAGUGUAACGCGAUGGAAGUAUUUUAAGCGGGCAUAUCCUGUCCAAACCCAGGAUGCACGACAUAAAGAAUUUGUUUUAACUUGUUUGUAUGAAAAGCAUCAAUAGAUAAGUUAGUUGAACUAGCAUGCAGUCUAGAACUAGACAUGGACACUACAAGAUAUAUUUCUGAUUUUUUAUGAAAUUAGAAAUAUAUGUUGGUGUAUAUUGAUGUUUUGGGACAAAGUGAGAGUCCCCAAACAUCAAUUAUAUGAUCGACAAUUAGUCAUCGCGCAACGAAAUUUAGUCUUUCCGCAAUUUACACGCCAAGUUAGGUUUCCAUUGUUUUCAGUCUAAAUUUACAAACCUUUCAUUUUGAUAUAAUGAGGUACAAGUUGUUAAUAAUAUUUUGUUUGUACUGGGAUGUUCCACCGACUUGGCACCAGAUAAUUUAAUUAAAUUUGUUUUGAUGAGGUUUAUGUUGCCGUGACAGGGUUUUUAUUGGACUGUUUUGAUAUGUUUUGUAUGGUAUUAUGUUACUUUGGAAACCAAGUACUAUUGCCUACAAUAGAUUUUACCUCGAGGAGUUUGGUUAAUAUUCAAUUUUACUUUCGUCAUAAUGUACAUAUUUGGUUUUUGUUCAAUCGACUGACAUUGAUUAUAUAAUCGACCCACUCAAAAGAGCGAAAACAGAUUAUUAAUGAAAUUAAAAAUACUUAUUAUUCUGUUUAUUUUAUGGAUAGAUAAGCUAGUUGAACUCGCAUGCAGUCUAGAACAACGCAUGGACAUUACAAGAUACAUUUCUGAUUUAUUAUGCAAUAAAAAUACUUAUUAUUCUGUUUAUUUCAUGGAAAAUAUAAUAUGUUUGGACGAAUUAAAUGAUGUUGUUGAAAUUAUUUUGUAGAAUAUCUUGAUAUUUUGUCUCUA